rnacentral:lncRNA from 1 species
UCUUAAUGCGUAAGGUACAACUUGUACAGGUUGGAAAAAAUCACAGCUGCCACCAAACUCAUCUCCAAGUCCACAUCUCUAUUGUGGGGUUAAUUUUGUAACAAUUUAUUUUUAAGUGAUUGCAAAAAUUUUACAAAAAGAAAAAGAAAAAAGAAAAAGAAACUUUGCUAAAUUCUUUGAAUUCUUUACAUAUUUAAAGCAUAUCUUGGAAAUAUAAGUGCAUUACAAAAAUAACAUAAUUCCACCAAAAAAAAAAAAAAAACUAAUGAGCAAAUUUAUUCUUUUCCAUGUUUUGGUGCAACAGAUUUUGCUUUUUGAAAUUUGUCAACCAUCUGUUAAAUUUCAAACAGAAAAAGAAAAAAAAAAUGAUUAGUUUAUUUUUUAUAUGAGAAAAUAAAUAAAAUAUUAAGUGGUUGAAAAUUCUUUUAACCUUGUGCCAAGUUGCGUUGAAGCAAGCCUUGUGGUCCUUAAAAGAUGCACUAACAAAUGACUUGAUGUAUUUUUUUGAAUUUCCCAUAUCUUUAUAACAGGAUUUUGUAGCACCAGGGGUAUUUUCGGUAUUUUUAGUUUGUAGAACCAUGGUCACACCUAAACAUUAACCCAUAAAACUAAGAUAUUUGAAAAAUUAUAGAACUUUAAAUUCAGGAAAACAAAUCAAAAUAUGUAUUUAAUGUGAAGUCACAAACACCAAAUUACAUACCUUUGUUGUUAUUUUUAUAUAUAUAAACAAAUGGGUUAUAAAUAAAUAUAAAUAUCCAAAUAUAAAAGAAUGAAAGCGAGUUGUAAUAAUGUUACCUUGAGAGGGAAAUUAAGCAAAAUAUGAGUGGAUGAUAAUUUGAUCAAUCGUUGUUUUUUUCUAUAUAGAAGCAUGACUUUUUCUCCAAGAAAACUUGGAAAGAAAGUUAUGGUUUA